AUCCGGAUGACGAGUCCCAAAAAGGAUGAAACGCGCGUCCUGUAU
rnacentral:hammerhead_ribozyme from 1 species